UCCCAGACUCCUACGGGAGGCAGCAGUGGGGAAUAUUGCACAAUGGGGGGAACCCUGAUGCAGCGACGCCGCGUGGGUGAAGGAGUAUUUCGGUAUGUAAAGCCCUGUCAGCAGGGAAGAGAAUGACGGUACCUGACCAAGAAGCCCCGGCUAAAUACGUGCCAGCAGCCGCGGUAAUACGUAUGGGGCAAGCGUUAUCCGGAUUUACUGGGUGUAAAGGGAGCGUAGGCGGCAGGGCAAGCCUGAUGUGAAAGCCCGGGGCUCAACCCCGGGACUGCAUUGGGAACUGCCCCGCUCGAGUGCCGGAGGGGCAGGCGGAAUUCCUAGUGUAGCGGUGAAAUGCGUAGAUAUUAGGAGGAACACCAGUGGCGAAGGCGGCCUGCUGGACGAUGACUGACGUUGAGGCUCGAAAGCGUGGGGAGCAAACAGGAUUAGAUACCCGUGUAUU
rnacentral:rRNA from 1 species